CCUCAAGAAAAGAAAAGAAAAAAAGCUAUCUUUCGGAGCUGCUAUUUCACUCUCUUAUAGGAUUUUUUUUUUCCUGAGAACCAGCAUGCUUCACGGAAUGCUAACAUAUUGGUGUUUUUGUAAGAGGGAUGUACAUAAAUGUAUUUUGCACUGUCACAAUGACUCCCUUGGCAUGCUUUUUUUUUUUUUCCAAGCAGAUGUUUUAAAAUAUGCUAGAGCCAUUUCACCAAUUUUAGCUGUAGCAUAGAGUAGUAGUGGAAUUUUUUUUUCUUUUUUGGAAAAAAUCAUUAUUAGGGACUUUUUAAAAAAAAUAAGAUAUCCUACUUUAAAAAAAAAGACAGUGCAUGCAUAUUGCUGUAAGGUCGUUUAAGUAUUUCUAAUUUUACAAAAAAGAAAAAAAAAUCAUUAGAGCUCCAAAUGCUGAGGUGUAGACUGACAGCUUUAACACUGCUGAAUGCUAGGUUAUACAGUAUUCUUACAAAAAGAGAAGUCAGCCAAAGACUGAUCUGAUGGACCAAAAUCGGAAUUUUGAAAAGCACCAGUACUACUUUCCAGAUGAUCAGCAGGUUAAACAUGUUCAGCAAGGUAUAGUGUGAAUCCAUUAACCCUUCGUUGUCCAGGGUCCAGAGCAGAACUACUUGUUAGUUUUGAACACAGUAGCCCAGGAUGUGGUUGUGUGCUUUACCAGAGUCGGCAGGGCUGCAGGCUGUGUAGACAACCAAAGUUGACAAGGCUGGGAGACACUUCUCCACAUACAUGUACACCAGGCAUUUCCUUACAAAUUGAAAACGAUCCAUUAGCUUUGGGGGGAGGGGGUUAAUGUAACCCUGGGAUGCAUUUUUAAGUGGCUUUUAAGUUAUCUGCAUAGAGGCAAUCCUCAAAUGGUUUUAAGUCUUUUAAAUCUUAAACAUUUUUCUUAAAGCACUUCCCCCUGUUUCGUCAUAUACAAGUUGUUUUUAUUUUCAUUUGAGUAGUGUUACUUUUUAAUGGCUUUUUAGUUUAGAAAAUUCUGAUGAGCAAGUAAAUACAUCUAUCUGCAUGUUGGAAGUCCAUCUGCCAGCACACCUGCUUAAAGUGAAAUGAAAGCACAUACCAGGCUCUGAAUGGGUUAUAUCUUAUCAUGGUGCUCCCAGAAUCCUUUGACCUCAUUCUGCUUUCUAGUCUGCUUGUGACACUGGACAGUCCUUUCUUACAGAGCUAUUAUAUGUUCUAGGCUACGAAGGGUUAAAUAAUCCCAAAAAUGAGGUAUGUCAUACCCACACGUCUUUAGAAGCUGUGAUGUAUGUGAAACAGCACUGUUAUUCUUCUUAACACUAGUGUGUAAAAUAAGGAUUAGUACAGUAUGUCUCAUUACUUUUUAAUUCAGGGCACCCUGAGUGAAAACAAAUACAAAAAAAAAAUCCCUAACUCUGAGCUCUAUCUCUGAUUCCUCUUCCUCCUUCCCUUCUUCCUCCUCCUCUUCCUCUCCUCCUGUUUUGCUACAUUCUCCUCAGUGGCAAAAAGUUUCACUCUACCUCUGACAGCAUGUAUAUUGCACCAGUAGCUAACAAAAACUGGUCUAGUCAAACCAAAUGGGCACAAAAGAACCAGGAUACCAAAAGUUAAGCUCAUACAGCUGCAAACCAUAUCACUUCUUGGUAACAAUGCAGACCUCAUAAACCUAAAGAAGAGAAAGAAAAAACUUUUGUUACUUUCCUUUUUUGCUUGUCACUUAUAUACAGGCUAUGUGAGAGUAUAAUUUGUAGGUGCAUGUCUUGGGGAUUUAAAAAUUUCAAGGCUGGUUUACUUAUGCAAAGCAUGCCUAUGUCUGGAAUACUUAGGGAAAGAAAGCGACUCCAUGUUGUCCGAAUUCCUCAAGGGACAGAAAAAAAAAAUUGGAGACUGUUGAAAUGCAGAUUUGAAGUAAUUUUUUUUUAAAUAUUAUUUUGGUUCUGCGACAUUAUUGUGAAAAAUUAAAGUUGUUGUGCAAUACUUAAUUCAGACAUGUACCACAAGUUAAUGGUAGACUAACACUGGGGGGUGGGGUCUAGGCAUCAUGCUUCUGUCAGCAAACUCUUGAGCUUUUAAGUCUACUAUGUCUGAACUGUGGUUUCUUGUUUAUCCUUUUUUCCUUAGUUGGACUGUAAUGUAUGGUCUGUCAACC
ensembl:lncRNA